rnacentral:tRNA from 1 species
AUUUAUGUAAUUUAAAUAAAAUAUAAUAUUUUCAAUAUUAAAUUAAGGAACUCCCCCUUCAUAAAUA